rnacentral:rRNA from 1 species
UGGGGAAUUUUCCGCAAUGGGCGAAAGCCUGACGGAGCGAUACCGCGUGAGGGAGGAAGGCUUUUGGGUUGUAAACCUAUUUUCUCAAGGAAGAAGAUCUGACGGUACUUGAGGAAUCAGCAUCGGCUAACUCCGUGCCAGCAGCCGCGGUAAUACGGGGGAUGCAAGCGUUAUCCGGAAUGAUAGGGCGUAAAGCGUCUGCAGGUGGCUAUGCAAGUCUGCUGGUAAAGAGUGGAGCUCAACUCCAUAGGGGCAGUGGAAACUGCGUAACUAGAGUACGUUCGGGGUAGAGGGAAUUCCUGGUGUAGCGGUGAAAUGCGUAGAUAUCAGGAAGAACACCGGUGGCGAAAGCGCUCUACUAGGCCGUAACUGACACAGAGAGACGAAAGCUAAGGGAGCGAAUGGGAUUAGAUACCCGCGUAGUCC